UACAGAGGGUGCGAGCGUUAAUCGGAAUUACUGGGCGUAAAGCGCACGUAGUCGGCUUUGCAAGUCGGGUGUGAAAUCCCCGGGCUUAACCUGGGAACUGCAUUUGUGACUGCAUCGCUGGAGUGCGGCAGAGGGGGAUGGAAUUCCGCGUGUAGCAGUGAAAUGCGUAGAUAUGCGGAGGAACACCGAUGGCGAAGGCAAUCCCCUGGGCCUGCACUGACGCUCAUGCACGAAAGCGUGGGGAGCAAACAGG
rnacentral:rRNA from 1 species